rnacentral:rRNA from 1 species
UAGGGAAUUUUGGACAAUGGGCGAAAGCCUGAUCCAGCAAUGCCGCGUGUGUGAAGAAGGCCUUCGGGUUGUAAAGCACUUUUGCCCGGAAAGAAGUCCUUGGCUCUAAUACAGUCGGGGGAUGACGGUACCGGAAGAAUAAGCACCGGCUAACUACGUGCCAGCAGCCGCGGUAAUACGUAGGGUGCAAGCGUUAACCGGAAUUACUGGGCGUAAAGCGUGCGCAGGCGGUUUGCUAAGACCGAUGUGAAAUCCCCGGGCUCAACCUGGGAACUGCAUUGGUGACUGGCAGGCUAGAGUAUGGCAGAGGGGGGUAGAAUUCCACGUGUAGCAGUGAAAUGCGUAGAGAUGUGGAGGAAUACCGAUGGCGAAGGCAGCCCCCUGGGCCAAUACUGACGCUCAUGCACGAAAGCGUGGGGAGCAAACAGGAUUAGAUACCCUGGUAGUCCACGCCCUAAACGAUGUCAACUAGUUGUUGGGGAUUCAUUUCCUUAGUAACGUAGCUAACGCGUGAAGUUGACCGCCUGGGGAGUACGGUCGCAAGAUUAAAACUUAAUGAAUUGAC